GCCACCACACUCACAGUCCCAGCUUCUCUGGAGGCUGAGGCAGGGAGAUCACUUGAGCCCUGGAGUUCUAGGCUGCCAUGAGCCAUGCCAGGUGUCUGCACUAUGUUCAGCAGCAAUAUGGUGACCUCCUGGGAAUGAGGGGCCACCAGGUUCCCUAAGGAGGAGUAAACCAUCCUAGGUGGGAAACAGAGCAGGUCAAAACUCCCAUGCAAGACUGCAUCUGUUAAGAGCCACUGCACUUCAGCCUGAGUGGAACAGCAAGACUUCAUCCCU
ensembl:misc_RNA Metazoa_SRP Metazoan signal recognition particle RNA